UACGGAGGAGGCAAGCGGUAUCCGGAAUUAGUGGGCGUAAAGCGUCCGUAGGUGGUUCACCAAGUCUGCUGUCAAAGGGUGGGGCUUAACCUCAUAAAGGCAGUGGAAACUGGUGAGCUAGAGUGCGGUAGGGGUAAGGGGAAUUCCCAGUGUAGCGGUGAAAUGCGUAGAGAUUGGGAAGAACAUCGGUGGCGAAAGCGCCUUACUGGGCCUGCACUGACACUGAGGGACGAAAGCUAGGGGAGCGAAAGGG
rnacentral:rRNA from 1 species